GGAGCGACCGACGAUAUGUAAAGGCUUUUAUUCACCACCCCCUGUCGAGACGCUCCUGCGUCCUUAGCUCGGAUUUUGGCCAGCCGCGUGCGGUACCACACGGGAGACCAGCAUCCGUCCCAUAUCCGAAUUGGAUGAGGGGACGACGAUUUGUGACACCCAGGCAGACGUGCCCUCGGCCAGAAGGCUUARGGCGCAACUUGCGUUCAAAGACUCRAUGGUUCACGGGAUUCUGCAAUUCACACCAAGUAUCGCAUUUCGCUACGUUCUUCAUCGAUGCGAGAGCCGAGAUAUCCGUUGCCGAGAGUCGUUUUAGACUUUAUAUGGCAGCAUAGCAUCCGACACACACCGUCUCCGGGGCGUCAAACGCAAGCUGUUUAAUUGUAUGUUCCUUGAGACUUUUCGUGCCGGGGUUUUGUGAUUUCCGGGAUCUUAAGCAUGACCAUACCGAGAGAAAUCUCUUGAUUUGGACCAUACSCAAGACCACGGACCCAGCGGGCACASUAUCUGUUAAAACAAAGGCCCACCGAGAGUGAUGAUMGGUUGUUCUCNAGUC
rnacentral:misc_RNA from 1 species